CUUGAACUCCUGGCCUCAAGUGAUCUGCUUCGCUCGGGUUCCCAAAGUGCUGGUUACAGGCGUGAGCCACUGCGCCAGGCCCUCUCCCUGCAUCUUUACGUGCCUGCAACGCCAAGAGGGAGCUCUUGGCCCCCGGGUUAGGAUCAGGGCCCCAGAGGCCCAGGGUCAAGGCUACAGGCCGCAUCCCAAGGACGUGCAUCCCUCCAAGAGGCUGCAUCCAACAGGCAUAGAAGAGGCUCUGCUGGAGCCUGCUCGGUGUCAGGCUGGGGAAAGCCAGUGGAAGUGCUUCUUGAAGAAAGAGGGGAAUCCCACCUAUCUCAGGGGUUCUGUUCUGGUCUGCAGCCCUGGAUCGUCAGGACUGGGCCGAGGUGGGGAGCAGACUUCACCCUUCUUGGCUGGGGCUGAGGGUGAGGGUCCUGCUUGAAGGGCCUAGCCCUGGGUUCCCAGCCACCGGCUCCACUCUGUAGCGCCUGGCCCCGCCCAGCCCCUCAAGGCCUGGCAGUCGCCCUCAACAAAGAUGGCAAGGAUGGCCUCAGGCGCGUCGCGUGUCACGUCGCGCGAGAUGCAGGGCUCGCGCUGCUCUAAGACGCGUAGACGGCGGCCCAGCGGAGGAGCGGAAAGUGUGGUCUGUGGGGCUGCUUGACGCCUGGUAGGCGCUCAGGCCGCUGUUAUGGGGCUGCGCGCUGGCGCUGCAGGGCGGAAUGCCAUACCACUGAGAGAGGCCGUUGCGGGAGCGCAACAAGCUGGAGGCCUCUGGAGCUUCCGUGCCGACUUCUUCGACAUCAGUCGGGCCCCACCCUGGACAUGCCGGUUCCUUCCAGCUUCAACGACAUUGGUCAGGACUGGCGGCUGCGGCAUUUUGUCAGCCAGGUGUGGUAUGAACAGGAGGUGACCCUGCCGGAGCAAUGAACCCAGGACCUGCGCACAAGAGUGGUGCUGAGGCUUGGCAGUGCCCACUCCUAUGCCAUCGUGGAUGGUGAUCGGGCCACACCAAAGCCUUGGACCCUUCCCGGCCUAUGACCUUUGUGACCAACUCCAACUAUGUAGCAGACAAGAGGGUGAACCUGGGGGUCCCCACCCCAUUUUUCCCCACCUUUGCCUGGGCUUGUCCUGAAGUCUGCUCAUGGGAACAGCUGGAAAGAACCAUGAGCUGCCAGUGUGGGAUUUUUUGUUUUGUUUUUUUACUUGAAAAAUAGAGACAGGGUUCGCCACGUUGCCCAGGCUGAUCUCGAACUCCUGGGCUCCAGUGAACCUCCUGCCUCAACCUCCCAAAGGGCUGGGGUUACAGGUGGGCCAAUGCACCCAGCUGCAGCCAGUCUGUUUUCAAAGAUGGUCUUUGGGUUAAUGAGAAUUCUCUCCCUGCUUACUCACCAGGCAGCGUGGCUUUCUGAAUCCAGGGAGGCUGGGCAUAGGGAGAUGGGAUUUGUUUGCUCAGUUUGGACUCAGCGUUUUUUGCACUUUGAUUUACUAGACUCAUAGAAUGUCAAAGGUUUAAGGGGGCUUAGAGUUCAUCUGGCCCACACCUGGCUGAUCAGAAUCUCUAGGGGAAGUUUUUUUGAAAUGGCAGAUCUCCACAUUCUGAGAUCCUGAUUCAGUAAUUCCUGGGUUGGAACCUGGAGUUUUCUUUUCUCUGUAGAUGCAAGGUGUUACUCUGUUGCCCUAGCUGGAGUGCAGUGGUGCGAUCACAGCUCAUUGCAGCCUUGAGGACUGUGGGCUCAGGAGAGAGAGGGAAGUCCUGUUUAUUGUUGCUUCCAAGUCUUGCUCUGUCACCCAGGCUGUAGUCCAGUGGUGUGAUCUCAGGGCUUCUCACCAAGGCCGAGAUGGACCGGAUACUACAUGGCCUAGACAAGGUGGUUGAGGAGUGGGCCCAGGGCACCUUCACACUCAACUCCAAUGAUGAGGACAUCCACACAGCCAAUGAGCGCCGCCUGAAGGUACGACCCAUGGAGCCCCACCGCUUUCCUGGCCUCCCCUCUCCACCUUGCCCAGGGCAUCAUUCUGUUUACUUCGUCAUUGGCAGACAGCAGGCAGGGACAUCCUGGCAGAGGAACAGGUCCUGGGUUUGACAGCUUCAGACCCCAGGGUGCCCAGGGCUCACCACUUGCCUACCUGUGCCCUCAAGUUCACUGAGAGAACAUGGACAGGCCCUCAACCCCGACAUACUGGCCACUGACCUCGCCUACUACCUGGUCUGCAAAGAGCACUGGACAUGGCGGCUAACGCCUGUAAUCCCAGCACUUUGGGAGGCCGAGUCAAGUGGAUUACCUGAGGAGUAGGUACGACUUCUACAACUGGUUUGGUGGAAAUCAAAUCCAAGUACAACUACAGCCGAUGGCAAGGGGACCAGACCUUCUGCGAUGGUGAGUGAUAGCAUCCCCAAAAGUUAAAAAUGCCAGAUGCAUGACAAUGCUCCCGUGACUGGUUAAUAGGGUGAUAGUCACUAGUCCAUUGAGGUGUCUUAUUUAAGGGGAACAUGUGGGCGAUCUUAGUUUUAUGACCCUGAGGUAAGAACCAGAUGCCAGGUAUAGUUUCAGUAUAGUCACCCGCAAGUAUUCCGGGCCCGGAGCAAGGAGGGUAACACGCCCGAGUGGGAUGAUGAUUUCUCAGAGGUUGGUAGAUUAAGAGACCAAAAUUCGGUAGGAGAUAUCCGUGUUGGCGAGGGUGGUUUUGACUGAAAUGUGCUAUGUCCAAUGAACAAAUGAAUGUACUAUGUAAUACUAAGAAUUUUGAGUUCCGGUCGAUAUCCAUGUAGAACUAGUUCUAUAUGUAAGUGUAGUAUUAUGUAUGAUAGUUAAGAAAUUGUGAACACUCGCUUAUAUGCAUGUGGAGCAAGCUUGUAAUGUCAUCUAAUCUGUGAAUGUACUGUGCACAAUCAAGCAUUGGCAGUACUAUAUAUUCAUGGGGACUAGCAGUAAUGCACAAAGUACAUAAAAGUAUUAAUGUAUUAGUGCUGAUGGUCAGUACUUACAUAGAAAUUAAAAUGCGUGCUGAAAAGAAUAUAGAGAAUAGUUUAAUUAGAAUCUCAGCUUUGGGUGUUGAUGGUGAAGCGGGAAUGCUUUUUCUCUGAGUUGCCCUGGGGAGGGACUCUCCAUUUCUGGUUUACAAGACUGGCGUAUGGGAUUAUACUACAUGGGCAGUUUCAUUUAAGUAGUUUAUUCUCGAUUAGGGCAGUGAGUGGUAUGAGAACAAGAAUAAUAGAGAAAUAUCUCAUAGAUGCUGUCUGUCCGAUGGUAAUGAAAGGAUGUUCUUGGCUGUCCUCCGAUCCAUGUGAGUGUGAGUAGGUCGGUGACUGAGAUUCAGAACAGAUAUUGCCUUAAUGGGCGGAAUAUUAUGUUUUGUUGUUUGGAUGUGUGGAGUGCAGGAAUAACUGCUAGAAGGAGAGUGGAUAAUAGAAGGGCCAGUACACCUCCUAGUUUAUUGGGGAUGGACCAUAAGAUUGCAUAUGCAAAUAAAAAGUGUCACUCUGGUUUAAUGUGGGGCAGGGUAUUUAGGGGGUUGACUAAGGUGUAAUUAUCUGUGUCACUCAGGAAGUCAGGCGAGAAACAAUACUAGAAUUAUUAAAAGGAGGAGGAGAAAAAUUAAACCUAGAAUAGCUUUGGUUGUAUAGUAAGGGUGGAAGGUGAUUUUGUUGGAAUGUGAUGGAAUUUCUGAAGGGUUAUUAGACCCUGUUUCAUGUAGAAAUAAAAGGUGGAGAAUUGUUAGGGCUAUGAUGAUGAAAGGUAAGAUGAAAUGGAAGGUGAAGAAUUGUGUAAGAGGGGCUUUGGCAACUGAAAAUCCACCUCUGAUUCAUUGGACAAGGUCAGUUCCAGUAUAUGGGAUGGCUGAUAGGUUUGUGAUUCCUGUAGCGCCUCAGAAUGAUAUUUGGCCUCAUGGAAGCACAUAGCCUAUAAAUGCUGUUGCUGUGGUUGUGAGAAGGAGGAUAAUGCCAAUAUUUCUGGUUUCUAAAUAUAUGAAUAACCCAUAAUAUAAGCCUCCACCAACGUGUAGGAAGAGGCAGACGAAGAAUGUUGAAGAGCCGUUAGUGUGAAAAUAGCGGACUCUUCAGCCGUAGUCCACAUCUUGGUUAAUAUGGGCAACAGAAGAGAAAGCAAUUGAGGUAUCGGGUGUGUAGUGUAUGGCCAGAAAUAACGCUGUGAUGAUCUGGAGGAUUAAGCAGGUACCAAGAAGUGAGCCGAAGUUUCAUCAUAUAGAGAUAUUAGAUGGUGUGGGGAGAUCAACGAAUGAGUAAUUAAUGAUUUUUAUUAGUGGGCUUGUUUUACAUAUAAUAGUCAUUAGUGUUCUUAUAGUUGAAGUACAGUGAUGGCUUUUCAUAUCAGUCAUGGCUAUAACCCAUGUGGGAUAGUGACAUAGGCUUUUUUCUUACUAAGUGUUCUUUUGUUAUGGGAUUCGUGGUUUUUUUCUAAACCUUCUCCUAUUUAUGGGGGCUUAGGGUUCAUUCUUAGUGCUGCUGUAGGUUGUGUUAUUGUGUUGAGCCAUGGUGGGGCUUUUAUGGGAUUAAUAGUCUUUUUGAUUUAUUUGGGGGGGAUGAUGGUUGUUUUUGGUUAUACUGUGGCGAUGGCUAUUGAGGAAUACCCUGAGUAAUGAGGAUCAAGUAUUGAAGUUUUAGAAACUUUAUUAUUGGGGCUACUAAUAGAGUUGGUGUUACUUUGAUGAAUAGUGAGUAUGAUGGGGUGGUGAUCAUAGUUAAUUUUAUUAGUGUGGGAAGUUGAAUCAUCUUUGAGGGUGAGGGCCCAGGGCUGAUUCAUGAGGAUUCUGCGGGUGCGGGUGCUUUAUAUAAUUAUGGAUGUUGAUUGGUGGUAGUUGCUGGUUGAACAUUGUUUGUUAGUAUUUAUGUUGCAAUUGAAAUUGCUCAGGGUAAUAGAUAAUUAAGAGUAAAGUUAGAAAGGAUGGAAUAAAAAAAGAGAGGAAAUAAAAUGUAAUUAGGCCUCUUUGAGUAGUUAUGGUAAUGGAGGCUGUGAUUUGGGUCUGUGAAAUUGUCUUUGGUAUGGACUUUUCUAGUCAAAUUAGGUCUAGCAGAAGUGCUGGCAGGUUUUGGCUUGUAGAUAGGUUUGAGUGAGGGGUUGUGUGUUGAACUGUGAUUGAGUAGAAUCCUAAUAUAUUGGAGAAGCUGAAUGUUUGUAAUGGAUAUUUUAUCUUAAGAUUAUUAGUUAUAAAACUAAGUUCCAUUGCCAGUAAGAGUCCUAGGAUGGUUAUCUCUUGGGCUGUGAGUUUUAGGGGAGGUGGUAUUGUUGUUUGGGGGGGAUGAAGUAGGGAUAAUGCUCUUGUGAUGAGAAAACCAGUGAAGAUACUGGCGACUGUAAGGCAUUUAAUUGGGUUUAUUAGGGAAGAGUUAUUUUCAUCAAUGCUGAUUAGGGUUGGGAAAUGGGGUUGUCCUAUUGGAGCAAGGAAAAUAAUUUGGAUACUAUAGACACUUGUUAGGGAGGCGGCAAUAAGAGUAGUAGAGAGGGCUCAGGCAUUGGUAUAUGAUGUGUUUGCGGUUUCGAUAAUGAGAUCUUUAGAGUAAAAUCCUGUGAGGAAAGGCAUACCUGUAAGUGCCAGGCUGCCAAUAAUAAGGGAGGAGGAAGUAAGGGGUAAAGUCUUAAAUAGUCCUCCUAUUUUUCGGAUAUCUUGUUCAUCAUUGAGGUUAUGGAUGAUGGAUCCUGAACAUAUAAAUAAUAUAGGUUUAAAAAAGGCGUGGGUGCAGAUGUGUAGGAAUGCCAGGUGUGGUUGAUUCAUGCCAGUUGUAACUAUUAUAAGGACUAGUUGACUUGAGGUGGGGAAUGCUAUGAUUUUGUUGACACCAUUUUGUGUUAGAGCACAAAUUGCUAUAAAUAAGGUGGUAAUAGUCCCUAAACACAGGGUAAGGGUUUGGAUUACUAUACUAUUUUCUAUUAAGGGGUAGAAGCGGAUAAGCAGGAAAACUCCUGCUACAGCUAUAGUGCUACAGUGGAGUAGGGCUGAGACUGGGGUUGGGCCUUCCAUGGUCAAAGGAAGUCAGGGGUGGAGGCCAAAUUGAGCCGAUUUUCCUGCUGCUGCUAAGAGAAGGCCAAUUAAUGGAAGAAGAUCGGGGGUAGGAUUUAGGAUAAAUGCUUGUUGAGGUUCUCAUAUAUUGGAGGAUGAGAGGAAUCAUGCUAUAGCUAAAAUGAAGCCAAUAUCGCCAAUGCGGUUAUGCAGAAUCGCUUGGAGGGCUGCUGUAUUAGCAUCUGCUCAGCUCUGUCAUCAGCCAAUUAGUAAAAAAGACUAAUUCCUAUGCCUUCUCAUCCAAUAAAAAGUUGAAAAAGAUUGUUGGCGAUAACUAGGAUUAAUAUUUUGGUGAGGAAAAUAAGUAAAUAUUUGAAAAAUUGAUGUUAGGAUCUGAUUUUAUUUAUCAAAUAUUGAGAAUUCUCUAAUAGAUCAGAUGACAAAUAGUGCUACUGAGAUAAAUAUUAUGGAGAAGUAAUCUAGUUUGAAGCUUAAUGAGAGUUUAAGGGUUUGGAUUGUUACUGGAUGUCAGUUUGAGAUGAUGGCUUCUGGGUCUAUAUACACAAACAUUGUGGGAAUGAGGCUAAUGGUGAAGGUGCAUGAGCUAGAUAUUUUCACGUAAUAUGGGUACAAGUUCUUGUGAGGGUUGAUUAAGAUAGUAAUAAUUGGUAAGGUUAAGGAGAUUAAGGUUAUAGUAAUGGAAAAAUACAUGAUUAUUACUUUUAUUUGGAGUUGCACUAGUAUUUUUGGUUCCUAAGACCAGUGGAUAGCUCUUAUCCUCUAAAACUUGAGAAUGCCAUGUUGUUAGGCAUGGGGCCAGGAGUUAGCAGUUCUUGCAUAAUUUCUCAGUAAAUAAGAAGUUGCAGACUUCUAUCAGUAGACCCACAAUCUAAUGUUUUGAUUAAAGUAUCUUUACAGUGUAUAAAACCUAUAAUAAUCUUAAGGUUUAGGGAUAAUAGAAUAGGUGCAAGGUGUGUAAGUAUUAGUAUAUUUUCUCAUGUAAAGGAAGUUUAAUACUGUUAAUGUAAUAUGUAAGUGUUCCUUGUUGUGUUGUGAUAAGCAUGUGUAGGGAAUAAAGGGCUGUGAUUAAUAUAUUAAGUCCUAUCAACAUAAUGGUGAUGUUUGAUCAGGAGAAUGAAGCCACUAUUACAAAGAGUUCUCCUGUUAGAUUAAUGUUAGGGCCUAAGGCAAAGUCAGUAAGAUUUGCUACAAGUCAUCAAAUUGUAGCAAUUUGUGGGAGUUAUGUGGGAGCGAUUAGUGGGAGUAGUGUUUGAAGCCCUUGAGAGAGUAAUAUGAUUCAGCUAUGGAUUCACUUGUAGUUUGAAUUUGCUAGGCAGAAUAGUAAGGACAAAGUAAGUCCAUUGGCAAUUAUAGGGUAAUUGCACCGGUAAAGCUUCAGGGAGUUUGAAUGAGAAUAACCAUAAUAACAAGUGCUACAUGGCUUAUGGAGGAAUAUGCAAUAAGUGAUUUUAGAUCAGUUUGUCAUAGACAAAUAGAGCUUAUCAUAACUAUACCUCAUAAGGAUAACAUGAGGAAGGAGUAGGCUGUAUAUUCUGUUGGGUGCUGAGGAUAAGGGUAAGCCUAUUAUGCCAUAGCUGCCUAGUUUUAGGAGAACCGCUACAAGUACUAUUGUGCUGGCAAUAGGAACUUCUGCGUGGGCUUUAGGAAGUCAUGGGUGAAGUUCAUAUAGGGAUAUUUUUACUAUACAACCCAUAAUACAUGCUAAUCAUGUAAGGUUAUUGGAUCAGGAAAUUAAUAGUUCUUGGGUAUUAAAUAUUAUUAUCAUGUUCAGUAAACUGAGGGCAUUUUGAGUAUAAAUAAGUAUAAUAAGUAGGGGGAGAGAUCCCACUAGUGUAUAAAAUAAGAAAUAUGAACUUGCAUUGAGGCAUUCUGGUUGGUUACCCCAGAGGAUGAUAAUAAUUAAGGUAGGGAUAAGUGUAGCUUCAAAGAGAAUAUAAAAUAUAAUUAGUUGUCUGGCUGUGAAUGCCAUAAUUUUAAAAAAUUGUAGGGAAAUCAAUAAGGAAAUAUAGAGCUUUUUCCAUGGGGGUGACUCAUUGGAGAGGUGGUACUGGCUUGCUAUAAUUAUAAGAGGUAGUAGUCAACCUGUUAAGAUUAGAAGGGGUGAUGUCAGCGAUCAGAAGAGAAGGUUAAUGAGAAGUUGAAUAGAUUGUCAUUGAAUUGAUUAAAAAAUAAUAGGGCAAUGAAGCUGAUGAUUAGGCUGUGAAUAGUCUUAUUGAUUCAGAUUGUAGAGUUUUUAGAGAGUCAUGUUAUUGGUAGCAGUAUAAUUGUUGGAAUAAUAAUUUUUAGCAUUGAAGUAAAUUUAGGUUAUGUACAUAGUCUAGGCCAUACGUGUUGGAGAUUGAAACUGGUAAGGCAAAGCCCACUGCGGCUUCACAGGCAAGCAAAUACUAGGAGGGUAAUAGGUAUUAUGAGUGCUAGGGUGAAAUGGAUAUUUAAGGUUAUAAGGGUAUUUAUGAUGAAUAAUCAUAAUAUUAUUCCUUCUAAGUGUAAUCUCAUAAUCUAAUGAGUUGAAAUCAUUUAUUUUGGCUUAAACUAUCUACCAAUUCAGUUCAAUCUAAUACUUUUUGAGCUCAUUCAUAAGUUAACCCUAGGACUAAAAUGAUGACUAGUAUAAGGGCUGUGCUGAUUAUUAGUGUCAGGUUUCUUGUUUGAAGGGCUCAUGGCAAGAGUAGUAGUAGGGCAAUUUCUAAGUCAAAUAGGAGGAAUGUGAUGG